UCUUGGUUAUAAACUAAAUUAAAUUUACCAGAGUACUAUGAAUACAAAAAUUUAAAACUCAAAGGACUUGGCGGUGUUUUAGACCACUCAGGGGAACCUGUCUCAUAAUCGAUAAUCCACGUUAAACCUGACCUUUUUUUGCAUACAGCCUGUAUACCGUUGUCGUCAGGUAACUUUUUAAAAAUUAGAAGUUAGCUACAAAUCAUAUUAGUUGAAACGUCAAAUCAAGGUGCAGCUCAUAAGAAGGAGAGGAUGGGUUACAAUUAUUAAGUUAUAAAUAUGGAAAACUUACAGAAUUGUUAGUUUGAAAAAGGACUUGAAAGUAAAUUGAAUUAUAAAAAUAUUUUGAAUAUGGCUCUGAAACGUGC
rnacentral:rRNA from 1 species